rnacentral:tRNA from 1 species
UGGCUCAGAUGGUAAAGCAUCUGCCUGCAGUGCAGAAGACCUGGGUUUGAUCCCUG